UACAGAGGGUGCGAGCGUUAAUCGGAUUUACUGGGCGUAAAGGGCGCGUAGGCGGUUGUAUGAGUGUGAUGUGAAAGCCCCGGGCUCAACCUGGGAAGUGCAUCGCAAACGAUACGACUGGAGUAUAUGAGAGGGUGGCGGAAUUUCCGGUGUAGCGGUGAAAUGCGUAGAUAUCGGAAGGAACGUCGAUGGCGAAGGCAGCCACCUGGCAUAAUACUGACGCUGAGGCGCGAAAGCGUGGGGAGCGAACAGG
rnacentral:rRNA from 1 species